AUAUCUGCCAAGGUUUGUGCAAGCACCAAUUUCCACUAAAAUUUGUCUGUGUUUUGGUUAUUAUUAUUAUUAUCCUGUCUGCAAUAGGGUUUAGUGUUUCAGUCAUGUUAAGACAAAAAUCAUCAACAGAAAAACAUGUUCCAGAGAGUAGGAAGAACACAACAGAGAGGCCCCCUCUGUUAACUUGCACAGAACCGUGGAAACGACAAGGACAGAAAUGCUUGACUUUUUCAUCCACAUCAGACUCUUGGAAUACCAGUCAAGCCCACUGUUCCAGAAAGGAAUCCACAUUACUGCUUAUUCAAGAUGCGA